GUCCCUGGGGUGCGAGGGGCGGAGGUGGGCUUCCGCCGCUCUCCCAUGAGCCCGGGCUGCAGCCGGCCCCCUACGCCGCCGCCCUCCCGGCGCCCCGUGACACUACCAUCGCCAAGCGGGUAGAGCCAAGCUCGCGCCUCGAGAGACUCGGCCAACUGCGCAGCAGCGCCGCGCACCGGAAAUCUCUGAAUAUUGCGUUACUACAUCUAGGUUAUUUUUCUAUCCUAGUUCCAUGUAAAAGGACAGAGGGCCACAACCUGGCAGAAGUUGGCAUCGCUGUCCCAGCUUAGCACAGGUAUGAGUCGGCAUAGCACAGAGCAUGCGCCUACCUGAUGUGGUCCUUUCACGCCUUACCUACCAGCCACCUCCUGGCCAAUAAAACAGCAAAAAGCUUCCAGAGAAAGUUCGCCGAAAUGGAUCAGUGGUUUGAAAGAGGUUCUUCAAAGGUAAAGUAAUGAUGAAAAUGGCAGAACCAUCCUCAGAAGAACAUGGUAAGCAUAAUGAACAAACAGUUCUCAAGUGAAUCUAUGAGAUAUGAAACUGCAUAUUCUAGGAUAGGUUCUUGGGUGGUGAUUUUACACAUGUAGCCAAAAAUGAAAACUGUGAGUGUAAGUUGAGUGAAAAAUAUUUGCAAAUUUCAUUCACUGGACCAGCCGUCCGUUGCUCCUAGUCCUCCAUAUGUUACCAUUAAAAUUAAAACUUUGAUAAAUAGCAGUCUGGAGCCAUAAAAAAGGGCUCCAUUAUCUUCCCCUAAAGUGACCAAUCCAGUUUUUCGAGAACAAAUACAAAAUAAUGCUUUCUAAUGUACAAUUAAUUUUCCUUGUUGCUAAAAGUGCAGGAGACCAAAGCUACAGAGGCAUGGUUCUAAGCUGCUGCUCUCUUUAAAAAAUGCACAUAAAAAUCAGCCACACAAUCACCAAGAAGGCUGUAAACCAGCUGCAAAAAUAGUGAUAAAGACUCUGCUUGCAGAGAGCCAAAGGGACCAUUGACAAAACUCCUUUAUCAGAUAACACUGUUGGACAUUACACAACCUCAAGAAUACACAAAGUAGAAAAGCAAUUAGGACAUACACAUACUAGCGGAUACUUCCCUUUUCAGCAAGCCAAACCUGCCCACGUGUGGGAUAUGAAGCAAGCCCUUGGCAUAUACAGGGUUCAAAUGUGAAGGAAAAAUGCUGCCUGGCUUGUCAUUUUGUUGGUGGUGCCAAAAUAAUGAUAAGAGGCUUCUCAAUUAUAGAUUAUUUACUUUGUGAGUCAUGUGCUAGAAAUGGUAUUUUGGGAUGGGUGCCAGAGUUGAAGCAGCCACGGCUGUCGUAAGCAAGGGUUCUGCUCUGUGAAUAAAAAGAGUUUGCUUUUUUACAUGCUGCCUUAUUCACAGAAAAGAGUUAAUGGUCAACAAAAUGCAUCUGAUUCAGGAUUAAAGGGAGAAAAAACAAAAACAAAAAUCGAAUCCUGGUAAAGGUAAAUGCAUAUCUUUUUAGCAAGCGGUGAGAGAAAAAAAAAGCAGGUAGUAUACAGGUCAGUGUGCGCUCAGUCAGGGACGACAGAAACCUAAAUCCAAAUGGAUUAAACAAUAAAUGGAACUAAUUAUAUCGUUUGUGUUGCCAGAGUGCUGGCUCCAUUUCACUGCAUGUGCCUUGGCUCUGUCCUCCUCCUUGGCGUCUUUUCUGACUGUCCCCCCCCCGCCCCCCACUGUGACAGAAAAUGGUUAUGGCAGCACCAAGUCCCUCACGUUCACCCCAACACUCAGACCAGCAAAGAGUAGCUGUGGUCCCCCAGUUCCCAGAAGUCCUGAGACUCACACUGAUUGGACAGGCUUAGGUCACAUGUCCAUUUCUGAACCAAUCACAGUGUGGCUGGGGGUGGAACCCACUGAUUGCUCCAUCCCCGGCCUAAAGGCAAAAAGCCCGCAAAGAACAGCAGGGAGGGCAGGAGGGCGAUCUUACUAGUAUGAAAUUAUUCUUAACGUUUAAAAUACUGUUUCAUCUUGUAAUUUAAAAUCAUUGAUGACACUCUGCCUUUUUUUUAUGUAAAUUGGUGAUCCGUGGUGUGAAAACUUGGAGGAACAUGCCUUAAGAGGAUGCUUCAAGGACCUAAUACCUAAUGAAUAUGCUUUGCAAUUCUACGUUCUCCUAAAUAGCAAAUGCUUGAAUGACUAUUACAAAUUCAUACC